UAGAUUCCAUAAAGGGUGUUGAUUGGGAACGGUUCCUUCAGGGGCAUUCCCUGCGUGUCGAACAGCCAACUCAGAACUGGUACGAACAAGGGGAAUCCAACUGUUUAAUUAAAAUAAAGCAUUGCGAUGGUCCCAACGGAUGUUCACGUAAUGUGAUUUCUACCUAGUGCUCUGAAUGUCAAAGUGAAGAAAUUCAACCAAGCGCUAGUAAACGGCGGGAGUAACUAUGACUCUCUUAAGGUAGCCAAAUGCCUCAUCAUCUAAUUAGUGACGCGCAUGAAUGGAUUAACGAGAUUCCCGCUGUCCCUGACUACUAUCCAGCAAAACCACAACCAAGAGAACGGGCUUGGCAGAAUCAGCGAGGAAAGAAGAUCCUGUUAAGCUUAACUUUACUCCGACUUUGUGAAAUGACUUGAGAGGUGUAGUAUAAAUGGGAGCCGAAAGGUGAAAGUGAAAUACCACUACUUUUAACGUUAUUUUACUUAUUCUGUGAAUCGGAAGCGGGGAACUGCCCCUCUUUUUGGACCCAAGGCUUGCUCUGCAGGCGGAUCCGGGCGGAAGACAUUGUUAGGUGGGGAGUUUCGCUGGGGCGGCACAUCUGUUAAAAGAUAAUGUAGGUGUCCUAAGAUGAGCUUAAUGAGAAUAGAAAUAUCGUGUGGAAUAGAAGGGUAAAAGCUCGUUUGAUUCUAAUUUCUAGUACGAAUAUGAACCGUGAAAGAGUGGCCUAACAAUCCUUUAGACUCACCCAUAUCUCUCUUUCAAAGAUAAUAUAGGAUCCAAAAGUAUACUAAUAUCCCUCAUUCAAUAAUGAUGUGAGAUUUUGGUAAUUUCAUGUUUUUACCCACAAAUUCCAA
rnacentral:ncRNA from 1 species